GAGCUCACAAAGUGGUUGUGAAAUGCAUUAUUUGCUUUAUCCAGCAUAUCACAGCCAGCUUUGAUGAGCUCUG
rnacentral:pre_miRNA from 13 species